CCUACGGGGGGCAGCAGUGGGGAAUAUUGCGCAAUGGGCGAAAGCCUGACGCAGCGACGCCGCGUGAGGGAUGAAGGUCUUCGGAUCGUAAACCUCUGUCAGCAGGGAAGAACGGUCACUGUGCUAAUCAGCAGUGAAUUGACGGUACCUGCAAAGGACGCACGGGCUAACUCCGUGCCAGCAGCCGCGGUAAUACGGAGGGUGCGAGCGUUAAUCGGAAUUACUGGGCGUAAAGCGCUCGUAGGCGGUAUGUCAAGUCAAGGGUGAAAUCCCGAGGCCCAACUUCGGAAUUGCCUUUGAUACUGUGCGGCUAGAGAGUAGGUGCGGUAGGCGGAAUGUAUGGUGUAGCGGUGAAAUGCUUAGAGAUCAGACAGAACACCGAUUGCGAAGGCAGCUUACCAAGCUACUUCUGACGUUGAGGCACGAAAGCGUGGGGAGCAAACAGGAUUAGAUACCCCAGUAGUC
rnacentral:rRNA from 1 species